rnacentral:rRNA from 1 species
CAGCAGCCACGUAAUACGUAGGGCGCAAGCGUUGUCCGGAAUUAUUGGGCGUAAAGAGCUCGUAGGCGGUCUGUCGCGUCUGGUGUGAAAUCCCGAGGCUCAACCUCGGGCUUGCAUCGGGUACGGGCAGACUAGAGUGCGGUAGGGGAGACUGGAAUUCCUGGUGUAGCGGUGGAAUGCGCAGAUAUCAGGAGGAACACCGAUGGCGAAGGCAGGUCUCUGGGCCGCAACUGACGCUGAGGAGCGAAAGCAUGGGGAGCGAACAGGAUUAGAUACCCCCGUAGUCCCUGUCUCUUAUACA